GACGAACGCUGGCGGCGUGCUUAACACAUGCAAGUCGAACGCUGAAGCUUGGUGCUUGCACUGGGUGGAUGAGUGGCGAACGGGUGAGUAAUACGUGAGUAACCUGCCCUUAACUCUGGGAUAAGCCUGGGAAACUGGGUCUAAUACUGGAUACGACAUGUCACCGCAUGGUGGUGUGUGGAAAGGGUUUUACUGGUUUUGGAUGGGCUCACGGCCUAUCAGCUUGUUGGUGGGGUAAUGGCUCACCAAGGCGACGACGGGUAGCCGGCCUGAGAGGGUGACCGGCCACACUGGGACUGAGACACGGCCCAGACUCCUACGGGAGGCAGCAGUGGGGAAUAUUGCACAAUGGGCGGAAGCCUGAUGCAGCGACGCCGCGUGAGGGAUGACGGCCUUCGGGUUGUAAACCUCUUUCAGCACGGAAGAAGCGAAAGUGACGGUACGUGCAGAAGAAGCGCCGGCUAACUACGUG
rnacentral:rRNA from 1 species